GCAGACACAUUAUAGCCAAUCAGCAGCAGACCCUCCCUCCCAGGCCCUCCCACCUCCUGGACAGCAUCCAUUUUGAAGCUGCAUUCUUAGUGAGCUGUCCAGGAGGUGGGAGGGUCUGGGAGGGAGGGUCUGCUGCUGAUUGGCUGGAAUGUGUCU